AUCUCUGGUCUCUUCGCAAAUCGAGAAAAACUUUCGCCUUUUACUAAAGUUUUCCGUGCGGAGGGACAAAUUGAGAAUUUUAUCUUUUUCCAAACCUGCUCUUCGGGGCAGGAU